CAGGUAGGAAUACCCGCUGAACUUA
rnacentral:rRNA from 1 species